UUGCACGCUAUAGACCUCAGAUGAAUCACAGAGAAGCUGUGCUUUUUAACUGUGGCGAAACCAUAGGCAGCUUUUUGUUUCUUCCCAGAAUCAGUUCCAAAGCAGCUGUUAAAUGUUCAUCCUCGGUUUUGCCAUCUUAUUUCAGGGAAUUGUAACAGCAGCAUCUUCUGUUUUUAAUUCUCCUGAAGAAAGAGAAAAAGAGCUCCCCAAGUUGGUGUGCUGCGCGUAGGUGCUGGUUAAUGACUUAUUUCCUCUCAUUUCCUUAAUCAGGAAAUUUCAGAGUUCAGCAGCCGCAGGGUUCCCAUGAACGUGGCUCUGACCUAAGCCAAGCUGUGUGAAACACUCGACCAUGAAAACAGCUUGCUCUGCAAACCUCUGACUGUUCCAAACUGAGGCCGACCAGAAGCUUCCAUUUGACACUGCGGGUCCUAAAAGAACCUAUACAUGUCAUCCUCUAAAUGCUGCUGGAAAGCUGAAAAGAAUCACGUGUUUGGGAGGAAGUAAAUACAACUUUUCAGGAGGAGGCGACUUAGCUGGCCAAGGGGAUUGGUGAGAACGGACACCAAUUAGUCAGUUCUCUAAUCAAUCAGUGUCGUCUAAUUCCAUGCACCUGGAAGUCUCCUUAAUUAGGAACGGAAUAGGAGGGGGCAGAAUCUCAUUUUUACAUGGAGAGAAGGCAGCUGAGAGCUGAUGUUUUGGUCUUGCAUACUGCCACGUUCCUGGCCCGGGGCUGGGGGCUGUCUGAGAUACAAAGAGGAGUAAGACGCAGCCCUGCUCUCAAGGAUCUCUGAAUCUGGUUGAGGACAGUGUGAAUGUUUCACAGAAAAUACCAGGAAGUUAGCUGGAAGAGGACUGCAAAAGGCAGAGCCAUGGAUCCAGGAUUGUGAGAUCCUCGCCUGCAGCCUGACAGCCAAGGGAAAGCAGGAGCAUCCACUGUCAUACAGUGAAGAUGCCAAGCCAUGAAACAGACAGCAAAUGACCUCUCUCCAUCUGUUUGUGAACACGGGGUUGGGCAGAGGGUGCUUAAAAAAUGUAUGCCAUGUGAUGAAAAUAUAUGUCUACACGAAAACUUA